UUGGUAAUGGUGAGAGGUUAGCAUGUUUUGUUGUAGUCUGUUAUUGGUAAUGGUGAGAGGUUAGUAUGUUUUGUUGUAGCCUCUGUUAUUGGUAAUGGUGAGAGGUUAGUAUGUUUUGUUGUAGUCUGUUAUUGGUAAUGGUGAGAGGUUAGUAUGUUUUGUUGUAGUCUGUUAUUGGUAAUGGUGAGAGGUUAGUAUGUUUUGUUGUAGUCUGUUAUUGGUAAUGGUGAGAGGUUAGCAUGUUUUGUUGUAGCCUCUGUUAUUGGUAAUGGUGAGAGGUUAGCAUGUUUUGUUGUAGCCUCUGUUAUUGGUAAUGGUGAGAGGUUAGCAUGUUUUGUUGUAGCCUCUGUUAUUGGUAAUGGUGAGAGGUUAGUAUGUUUUGUUGUAGUCUGUUAUUGGUAAUGGUGAGAGGUUAGUAUGUUUUGUUGUAGUCUCUGUUAUUGGUAAUGGUGAGAGGUUAGUAUGUUUUGUUGUAGUCUGUUAUUGGUAAUGGUGAGAGGUUAGUAUGUUUUGUUGUAGCCUCUGUUAUUGGUAAUGGUGAGAGGUUAGUAUGUUUUGUUGUAGUCUCUGUUAUUGGUAAUGGUGAGAGGUUAGCAUGUUUUGUUGUAGCCUCUGUUAUUGGUAAUGGUGAGAGGUUAGCAUGUUUUGUUGUAGCCUCUGUUAUUGGUAAUGGUGAGAGGUUAGCAUGUUUUGUUGUAGCCUCUGUUAUUGGUAAUGGUGAGAGGUUAGCAUGUUUUGUUGUAGCCUCUGUUAUUGGUAAUGGUGAGAGGUUAGUAUGUUUUGUUGUAGUCUCUGUUAUUGGUAAUGGUGAGAGGUUAGCAUGUUUUGUUGUAGCCUCUGUUAUUGGUAAUGGUGAGAGGUUAGUAUGUUUUGUUGUAGUCUCUGUUAUUGGUAAUGGUGAGAGGUUAGCAUGUUUUGUUGUAGCCUCUGUUAUUGGUAAUGGUGAGAGGUUAGCAUGUUUUGUUGUAGCCUCUGUUAUUGGUAAUGGUGAGAGGUUAGCAUGUUUUGUUGUAGCCUCUGUUAUUGGUAAUGGUGAGAGGUUAGUAUGUUUUGUUGUAGUCUGUUAUUGGUAAUGGUGAGAGGUUAGUAUGUUUUGUUGUAGUCUCUGUUAUUGGUAAUGGUGAGAGGUUAGUAUGUUUUGUUGUAGCCUCUGUUAUUGGUAAUGGUGAGAGGUUAGUAUGUUUUGUUGUAGUCUCUGUUAUUGGUAAUGGUGAGAGGUUAGUAUGUUUUGUUGUAGCCUCUGUUAUUGGUAAUGGUGAGAGGUUAGUAUGUUUUGUUGUAGUCUGUUAUUGGUAAUGGUGAGAGGUUAGUAUGUUUUGUUGUAGCCUCUGUUAUUGGUAAUGGUGAGAGGUUAGUAUGUUUUGUUGUAGCCUCUGUUAUUGGUAAUGGUGAGAGGUUAGUAUGUUUUGUUGUAGUCUCUGUUAUUGGUAAUGGUGAGAGGUUAGUAUGUUUUGUUGUAGCCUCUGUUAUUGGUAAUGGUGAGAGGUUAGUAUGUUUUGUUGUAGUCUGUUAUUGGUAAUGGUGAGAGGUUAGUAUGUUUUGUUGUAGUCUCUGUUAUUGGUAAUGGUGAGAGGUUAGUAUGUUUUGUUGUAGCCUCUGUUAUUGGUAAUGGUGAGAGGUUAGUAUGUUUUGUUGUAGUCUCUGUUAUUGGUAAUGGUGAGAGGUUAGUAUGUUUUGUUGUAGCCUCUGUUAUUGGUAAUGGUGAGAGGUUAGUAUGUUUUGUUGUAGUCUCUGUUAUUGGUAAUGGUGAGAGGUUAGUAUGUUUUGUUGUAGUCUCUGUUAUUGGUAAUGGUGAGAGGUUAGCAUGUUUUGUUGUAGCCUCUGUUAUUGGUAAUGGUGAGAGGUUAGUAUGUUUUGUUGUAGUCUGUUAUUGGUAAUGGUGAGAGGUUAGUAUGUUUUGUUGUAGCCUCUGUUAUUGGUAAUGGUGAGAGGUUAGUAUGUUUUGUUGUAGCCUCUGUUAUUGGUAAUGGUGAGAGGUUAGUAUGUUUUGUUGUAGCCUCUGUUAUUGGUAAUGGUGAGAGGUUAGUAUGUUUUGUUGUAGCCUCUGUUAUUGGUAAUGGUGAGAGGUUAGUAUGUUUUGUUGUAGUCUCUGUUAUUGGUAAUGGUGAGAGGUUAGUAUGUUUUGUUGUAGCCUCUGUUAUUGGUAAUGGUGAGAGGUUAGUAUGUUUUGUUGUAGUCUCUGUUAUUGGUAAUGGUGAGAGGUUAGUAUGUUUUGUUGUAGCCUCUGUUAUUGGUAAUGGUGACAGGUUAGUAUGUUUUGUUGUAGUCUCUGUUAUCGGUAAAUUGCUAAAUCUGAUACCUCACUGUCUAAAUAGAUAUGGUGUGGACUGUAUACUCAAUACAAUCUAAAUCUGAUACCUCACUGUCUAAAUAGAUAUGGUGUGGACUGUAUACUCAAUACAAUCUAAAUCUGAUACCUCACUGUCUAAAUAGAUAUGGUGUGGACUGUAUACUCAAUACAAUCUAAAUCUGAUACCUCACUGUCUAAAUAGAUAUGGUGUGGACUGUAUACUCAAUACAAUCUAAAUCUGAUACCUCACUGUCUAAAUAGAUAUGGUGUGGACUGUAUACUCAAUACAAUCUAAAUCUGAUUCCUCACUGUCUGUCU